GGACUACUGGGGUAUCUAAUCCCGUUCGCUCCCCUAGCUUUCGCGCCUCAGCGUCAGAAGAGGUCCAGUACGUCGCUUUCGCCACCGGCGUUCCUUCCGAUAUCAACGCAUUUCACCGCUCCACCGGAAGUUCCACAUACCCCUACCUCCCUCCAGACCAUCAGUAUCCAAGGCACUUUUCCGGUUAAGCCGAAAGAUUUCACCCCGGACUUGACAGCCCGCCUACGCGCCCUUUAAGCCCAGUGAUUCCGAACAACGUUCGCACGGUUCGUCUUACCGCGGCGGCUGGCAC
rnacentral:rRNA from 1 species